UGUUUGUAUAGUGUGUGUAUAUAAUGCAAUGUCUUUGUGUAGUGUGCAUUAUAUAAACACACUGCAUUAUAUACACACACUAUGCAAAC